AAACUCCAACAACUUGCCAUGCCAAAAAGAAGAUGAGAAAUGAUCUUGUAUUGAUUUAGGUCCUUUGCAUGAUUUAGAAAGCAAUUUAUCCUUAAUGCAAAGCCAUUCACUUGAUCCAUGAUCAAGAUGAAUUAGAUUUGAAUCAAGGAAGAUUAAACCUCCCUAAUCAAUGCUAACCAUCAACCUUUAACUCAUUGAUCAAAAAAAAGA
rnacentral:lncRNA from 1 species